UGUUCCUACGGGACGCAGCAGUGGGGAAUAUUGCACAAUGGGGGAAACCCUGAUGCAGCGACGCCGCGUGAAGGAUGAAGUAUUUCGGUAUGUAAACUUCUAUCAGCAGGGAAGAAAAUGACGGUACCUGACUAAGAAGCCCCGGCUAACUACGUGCCAGCAGCCGCGGUAAUACGUAGGGGGCAAGCGUUAUCCGGAUUUAUUGGGUUUAAAGGGUGCGUAGGCGGAAGGUUAAGUCAGCGGUCAAAUGUCGGUGCUCAACACCGGCCUGCCGUUGAAACUGGUCUUCUUGAGUGAGCGAGAAG
rnacentral:rRNA from 1 species